UCUGGCCGAGCGGUCUAAGGCGCCUGAUUCAAGAAAAGAUCUUGACCACAGUUAACUGUGGGAAUACUCAGGUAUCGUAAGAUGCAAGAGUUCGAAUCUCUUAGCA
rnacentral:tRNA from 1 species